rnacentral:rRNA from 1 species
UACGUAGGGGGCAAGCGUUGUCCGGAUUUAUUGGGCGUAAAGAGCGUGUAGGCGGCCAGGUAGGUCUGCUGUGAAAACUCGAGGCUUAACCUCGAGAUGUCGGCGGAAACCAUCUGGCUAGAGUCCGGAAGAGGAGAAUGGAAUUCCCGGUGUAGCGGUGAAAUGCGCAGAUAUCGGGAAGAACACCAAUGGCGAAGGCAGCACUCUGGGACGGUACUGACGCUGAGACGCGAAAGCGUGGGGAGCGAACAGG